UACAAUUUAGAGUUUGAUCCUAGCUCAGGAUGAACGCUGGCGGCGUGGAUGAGUCAUGCAAGUCAAACGGGGUCACUUUAUGUAGCAAUACAUUUUGUGAUUCAGUGGCAGACGAGGUAGUAACACGUAGGAACCUAACCUUGAGUCGGGAAUAAUUCACCGAAAGGCGAACUAAUACCCGAUGGUAUCUAAGGAUUAAAGAAGCAAUUCGCUUAAGGAAGGGCCUGCGGAGUAUCAGCUAGAUGGUAGGGUAACGGCCUACCAUGGCUAUGACGCUUAGGGGACCUGAGAGGGUGACCCCCACCGAUGGGACUGAGACACGGCCCAUACACCUACGGGUGGCUGCAGACGAGAAUAUUCGACAAUGGGCGAAAGCCUGAUCGAGCGACGCCGCGUGAUGGAUGAAGACCCUUCGGGUCGUAAACAUCUUUUAUGGAGGAGAAAGUACCGAGGCUUGCUUCGGUAUUGAUAGUACUUCAUGAAUAAGGGGUUGCUAAACUCGUGCCAGCAGCAGCGGUAAUACGAGUGCCCCAAGCGUUAUCCGGAAUCAUUGGGCGUAAAGGGUGUGUAGGUGGCGUUGUUAGUCUCCCGUCAAAGCCUCUGGCUCAACCAGAGUUUUGCGGGGGAAACGGCAAUGCUAGAGGAUGCGAGAGGUGAAUGGAACUCAUGGAGUAGGGGUGAAAUCCGUUGAUAUCAUGGGGAACACCGAAAGCGAAGGCAAUUCACUGGCGCAUUCCUGACACUGAGACACGAAAGCGUGGGUAGCGAACGGGAUUAGAUACCCCGGUAGUCCACGCCCUAAACGUUGUCGAUUGGCUUUGGGGAGUAUCGACCCUCUCCGAGGCGAAGCUAACGCGUUAAAUCGACCGCCUGGGUAGUACGGCCGCAAGGCUAAAACUCAAAGGAAUAGACGGGGACUUGCACAAGCAGUGGAUUAUGCGGUUUAAUUCGAUGAUGAACGAAGAACCUUACCAAGAUUAGAAAUCCCAACGACGAAUAGUAGAAAUAUUAUUCUUUCGCAAGAACGGUGGGACAGGUGAUGCAUGGCCGUCGUCAGUUCGUGAUUUGAAUUGUUCCCUUAAGUGGGGUAACGAACGCAACCCUCGUUGCCAGUUACAAGUGUCUGGCGAGACUGCUCCGGUUUGAGGUCACUACGUGGGGACGCGUAGCGGGUUCAAACCGGAGAGGAAGGCGAGGAUGACGCCAGGUCAGCAUGUCCCUUGAUAUCUUGGGCUACACGCAUAAUACAAUCGCAUCUACAACGGGUCGCGACGCCGCAAGGCUGAGCUAAUCCUAAGAAAAGGUGCGCCAGUUCGGAUUGGGGGCUGAAACUCGACCCCAUGAAGCCGGAAUUGCUAGUAAUCGCGGGUCAGCUAUACCGCGGUGAAUACGUUCUCAAGUCUUGUACUCACCGCCCGUCAACUCAAGGGAGAUGGGAAUACCCGAAGAAUCGCGCAAGCGGUGCCACGGUAAGCUCAUUGACAGGGAGUAAGUCGUAACAAGGCACGGGUAGCGGAAGCUGC
rnacentral:rRNA from 1 species